rnacentral:rRNA from 1 species
GACGAACGCUGGCGGCGUGCUUAACACAUGCACGUCGAACGGUGAAGCGCCUUCCUUUUUGGUGGGUGUGGUUGAGUGGCGAACGGGUGAGUAACACGUGAGUAACCUGCCCCCUUCUGCUGGAUAACCGCAUGAAAGUGUGGUUAAUACGGGAUAUUCUGGGUUUGUCGCAUGAUUGGUCUGGGAAAGCUUUUGUUUCCGCGGGGGAUGGGAUCGCGGCCCACCAGCUUGUUGGUGGGGUAAUGGCCUACCAAGGCGGUGACGGGUAGCCGGCCCGGGAGGGUGAACGGUGACACUGGGGAUGAGAGACGAACAGGACUGCUACGGGGGGCAGCAGUAGGGAAUAUUGAACAAUGGGGGGAAGCCUGAUGCAGCGACGCCGCGUGAGGGAUGGAGGCCUUCGGGUUGUGAACCUCUUUCGCCAGUGAAGCAGGCCUGCCUCGUUUGUGGGUGGGUUGACGGUAGCUGGAUAAGAAGCGCCGGCUAACUACGUG